AGAUUAAGUUAUUAAGGGCGCACGGUGGAUGCCUUGGCACUAGAAGCCGACGAAGGACGUUACUAACGACGAUAUGCUUUGGGGAGCUGUAAGUAAGCUUUGAUCCAGAGAUUUCCGAAUGGGGAAACCCAGCACGAGUUAUGUCGUGUUAUCGAUAUGUGAAUACAUAGCAUAUCUGAAGGCAGACGCGGAGAACUGAAACAUCUUAGUACCCGCAGGAAGAGAAAGAAAAAUCGAUUCCCUGAGUAGCGGCGAGCGAAACGGGAAGAGCCCAAACCAACGAGCUUGCUUGUUGGGGUUGUAGGACACUCUAUACGGAGUUACAAAAGAACAGACUAGACGAAUCAUCUGGAAAGAUGAAUCAAAGAAGGUAAUAAUCCUGUAGUCGAAAGUUUGUUCACUCUUGAGUGGAUCCUGAGUACGACGGAACACGAGAAAUUCCGUCGGAAUCUGGGAGGACCAUCUCCCAAGGCUAAAUACUCUCUAGUGACCGAUAGUGAACCAGUACCGUGAGGGAAAGGUGAAAAGUACCCCGGAAGGGGAGUGAAAUAGAACUUGAAACCGUGUGCUUACAAGUAGUCAGAGCCCGUUAAUGGGUGAUGGCGUGCCUUUUGUAGAAUGAACCGGCGAGUUACGAUUUGAUGCAAGGUUAAGCAGUGAAUGUGGAGCCGUAGCGAAAGCGAGUCUGAAUAGGGCGUUGAGUAUUUGGUCGUAGACCCGAAACCAGGUGAUCUACCCAUGACCAGGUUGAAGUUCAGGUAACACUGAAUGGAGGACCGAACCGACUUACGUUGAAAAGUGAGCGGAUGAGUUGUGGGUAGCGGAGAAAUUCCAAUCGAACCUGGAGAUAGCUGGUUCUCUCCGAAAUAGCUUUAGAGCUAGCCUCAAGUGAUGAUUAUUGGAGGUAGAGCACUGUUUGGACGAGGGGCCCUUAUCGGGUUACCGAAUUCAGACAAACUCCGAAUGCCAAUCAAUUUAACUUGGGAGUCAGAACGCGGGUGAUAAGGUCCGUGUUCGAAAGGGAAACAGCCCAGACCACCAGCUAAGGUCCCAAAAUAUAUGUUAAGUGGAAAAGGAUGUGGCGUUGCCCAGACAACUAGGAUGUUGGCUUAGAAGCAGCCAUCAUUUAAAGAGUGCGUAAUAGCUCACUAGUCGAGUGACACUGCGCCGAAAAUGUACCGGGGCUAAACAUAUUACCGAAGCUGUGGAUUGUCCGUAAGGACAAUGGUAGGAGAGCGUUCUAAGGGCGUUGAAGCAUGAUCGCAAGGACAUGUGGAGCGCUUAGAAGUGAGAAUGCCGGUGUGAGUAGCGAAAGACGGGUGAGAAUCCCGUCCACCGAUUGACUAAGGUUUCCAGAGGAAGGCUCGUCCGCUCUGGGUUAGUCGGGUCCUAAGCUGAGGCCGAUAGGCGUAGGCGAUGGAUAACAGGUUGAUAUUCCUGUACCACCAUUAUUCGUUUUAAGCGAUGGGGGGACGCAGUAGGAUAGGCGAAGCGUACGAUUGGAUUGUACGUCCAAGCAGUGAGAUUGAGUGUUAGGCAAAUCCGGCACUCUUAAGAUUGAGCUGUGAUGGGGAGAGGAAAUUGUUUCCUCGAGUCGUUGAUUUCACACUGCCAAGAAAAGCCUCUAGCUAGAAUUGUGGUGCCCGUACCGCAAACCGACACAGGUAGUCAAGAUGAGAAUUCUAAGGUGAGCGAGCGAACUCUCGUUAAGGAACUCGGCAAAAUGACCCCGUAACUUCGGGAGAAGGGGUGCUCUUUAGGGUUAACGCCCAGGAGAGCCGCAGUGAAUAGGCCCAAGCGACUGUUUAUCAAAAACACAGGUCUCUGCUAAACCGUAAGGUGAUGUAUAGGGGCUGACGCCUGCCCGGUGCUGGAAGGUUAAGAGGAGUGGUUAGCUUCUGCGAAGCUACGAAUCGAAGCCCCAGUAAACGGCGGCCGUAACUAUAACGGUCCUAAGGUAGCGAAAUUCCUUGUCGGGUAAGUUCCGACCCGCACGAAAGGCGUAACGAUUUGGGCACUGUCUCAACGAGAGACUCGGUGAAAUCAUAGUACCUGUGAAGAUGCAGGUUACCCGCGACAGGACGGAAAGACCCCGUGGAGCUUUACUGUAGUCUGAUAUUGAAAUUCGGCACAGCUUGUACAGGAUAGGUAGGAGCCUGAGAUACGUGAGCGCUAGCUUACGUGGAGGCGUUGGUGGGAUACUACCCUCGCUGUGUUGGAUUUCUAACCCGCACCAUUUAUCAUGGUGGGAGACAGUGUCAGAUGGGCAGUUUGACUGGGGCGGUCGCCUCCUAAAGAGUAACGGAGGCGCUCAAAGGUUUCCUCAGAAUGGUUGGAAAUCAUUCAUAGAGUGUAAAGGCAUAAGGAAGCUUGACUGCGAGACUUACAAGUCGAGCAGGGUCGAAAGACGGACUUAGUGAUCCGGUGGUUCCGCAUGGAAGGGCCAUCGCUCAACGGAUAAAAGCUACCCCGGGGAUAACAGGCUUAUCUCCCCCAAGAGUUCACAUCGACGGGGAGGUUUGGCACCUCGAUGUCGGCUCAUCGCAUCCUGGGGCUGUAGUCGGUCCCAAGGGUUGGGCUGUUCGCCCAUUAAAGCGGUACGCGAGCUGGGUUCAGAACGUCGUGAGACAGUUCGGUCCCUAUCCGUCGUGGGCGUAGGAAAUUUGAGAGGAGCUGUCCUUAGUACGAGAGGACCGGGAUGGACAUACCUCUGGUGUACCAGUUGUCGUGCCAACGGCAUCGCUGGGUAGCUAUGUAUGGACGGGAUAAGUGCUGAAAGCAUCUAAGCAUGAAGCCCCCCUCAAGAUGAGAUUUCCCAACUUCGGUUAUAAGAUCCCUCAAAGAUGAUGAGGUUAAUAGGUUCGAGGUGGAAGCAUAGCGAUAUGUGCAGCUGACGAAUACUAAUCGAUCGAAGACUUAAUCAAAUUUUA
rnacentral:rRNA from 1 species